AAAAGCAGAAAGUGGAAAUUCCCCGAGACAGCGGAGCACACGUGUGCAUGUACGAGCGAUUCAUAAUUAUAUAUAUACAGACCCACACUUUCGAUAGAUCCUUCAGUUCACACUCUGUUUUCUAUUCAUUACAUCCAUUUCUUACAAAAGAUAAUGCACUAAAAAUACAUCAAUAAACUCAUAAAUCAUCACAUUAAAUAAUGGAGUUAAUUCAAUACUCCAACUAGCACCUCAAAUUUGCUGAAACUGAGGCCCGCAAUCACCAGUCAAUUGGAUUUUGGAGCAUAUUCGAAUAUGGAUUACUACCAAAUGCAAUACACAAAUCCACAAAGAUUGCAUUUAGAGUGAAAUCUCAAGCAUUUCCCUCUAUAUUUGUAUUCUAAAACAAAACUGCAACUCAGAAGGCGAAGGCCCACAGAAAGGUAUUUCCAAAAAAGGUGCAAGAAUAUGAUCAGCUGGCCAACCCAUCAUGUAGAAAACAAAAUUCUACCGAUUCUUCAAUUUUACAGUGCCCUUUUCAUUAAAGAACCAUUAUUCUAAGCUCUUUUAAAGACGAUAUCAAUGGCGUUGAAUCAUGGAUUAACCAAAUCUACAAGAAACUGCAAUUAAAUAGCUGUAUGAGAAGUGGAAUUUGGUUGGCUAAUGAAGACUGAGAUUUCAAUUAGCGUCGCUGUUAGGUUUCACAGACUGGGUCAUGUGCAUCAUUAUUUCAAUAUCUCCCUAGAUUUUCAAAAAUAAUAUUACCAUGUUACAUAUAUAUACACCCCACUCGGUCUCAAGUGUCAAGUCUCAGCAAUAGAUACAGAUAUAUUCUUGGCUCCUGCAAGUUUGGAAGUAGUACAGACUCAGGAUGGGACCCAACGGCAGCUGAGUCGACUAAAGGUGGAGGCAAAACUGAAGAAAAAGAUGGGAUAUUAUGAGCAAUGGGCUCAAGCUUUGGCCUCAGCAUGCGGCUUCAUCUUGUUGAUCGGUUUGGUUUUCUGUUGCCUGAGCAGCAAGCCGCGGCCACAUGGCGCCAACAGCAGCAGCACUGGCGCCUGCAGCUGCGACGGUGGUUAUAUUGGUGUUUAGGCUUAUAGUUUAACUGUAGCAGAGAAUAGAGAAGACACAUUCAUGCUUAUCUUCAUUAGUUUGAAGUACAAAUCCCUAUGAUAGCUGGAGUCUUUCCAGCAAGUCAAGCAUGUCGCAUGCACCAGCAUAAGUUUGGAAGGCUAAGAAGUGUGGUUUCCUGAAAUUAAAGACAACUAUGUUACAGAUUAUGUAUUUAAUUUCUAAGCAUAAGUUUGUAACUGCACAAAUAUUUUUGAAAUUUGAAAUAUUUUCAGAAA